rnacentral:rRNA from 1 species
GACAGAGGGUGCGAACGUUGUUCGGAAUUACUGGGCGUAAAGCGCAUGUAGGCGGCAGCGCAAGUCGGGCGUGAAAUCCCACGGCUCAACCGUGGAAGUGCACUCGAAACUGCGCAGCUAGAGUCCUGGAGAGGAAGGUGGAAUGCUUGGUGUAGAGGUGAAAUUCGUAGAUAUCAAGCGGAACACCGGUGGCGAAGGCGGCCUUCUGGACAGUGUCUGACGCUGAGAUGCGAAAGCGUGGGGAGCAAACAGG